UGCUUCCGGGCGAUUUUUUAUUGGGCUCGGCUGUGUCAGGCUGCGGCGCGGGGAAUCUGUCCGUGGGGGAUCAAAUCCGAUGAGAUCGCUGGGCCUCGGCCUCGUCCGCCUGUUUCUUUGUGUGUGUCACAUCCGGAAUUCAGGGCCAUCGCUUUCCUGCUCGCGCUGGCUGCGGUCGGCGGAUCGGUCUUUUAUCAUUUCGCGGAAGGCUG
rnacentral:misc_RNA from 1 species